rnacentral:ncRNA from 1 species
AUAAAGACUGUGAAAAGGAAUAGUAGAUUAUCGCCGGAAUUUUACAGAGAGCUGUCGGAAGGUGCAAGACAGCAGAUUCGGAUAAUUGAACUCGCCUUGGAGUUUCUUUUCUGAAAGGAUAAACAGAUAGGAAAAGACGAUUCAUUUCCGUUACCAAAUGACUGAGUGCAUAUGUAGGGCAGCUUACAUAUGAAUUAGAGUGGUACCGCGAUUGUAGCCCUUUCGUCUCUAAG